rnacentral:rRNA from 1 species
AGUGAACGCUGGCGGUAGGCCUAACACAUGCAAGUCGAACGGCAGCACAGUAAGAGCUUGCUCUUACGGGUGGCGAGUGGCGGACGGGUGAGGAAUACAUCGGAAUCUACUUUUUCGUGGGGGAUAACGUAGGGAAACUUACGCUAAUACCGCAUACGACCUACGGGUGAAAGCAGGGGAUCUUCGGACCUUGCGCGAUUGAAUGAGCCGAUGUCGGAUUAGCUAGUUGGCGGGGUAAAGGCCCACCAAGGCGACGAUCCGUAGCUGGUCUGAGAGGAUGAUCCGCCACACUGGAACUGAGACACGGUCCAGACUCCUACGGGAGGCAGCAGUGGGGAAUAUUGGGCAAUGGGCGCAAGCCUGAUCCAGCCAUACCGCGUGGGUGAAGAAGGCCUUCGGGUUGUAAAGCCCUGUUGUUGGGAAAGAAAAGCAGCAGGUUAAUACCCCGCUGUUCUGACGGUACCCAAAGAAUAAGCACCGGCUAACUUCGUG